UAUGAGUGUCGUACAGCCUCCAGGACCCCCCCUCCCGGGAGAGCCAUAGUGGUCUGCGGAACCGGUGAGUACACCGGAAUUGCCAGGACGACAGGGUCCUUUCUUGGAUCAACCCUCUCAAUGCCUGGAGAUUUGGGCGUGCCCCCGCGAGACUGCUAGCCGAGUAGUGUUGGGUCGCGAAAGGCCUUGUGGUACUGCCUGAUAGGGUGCUUGCGAGUGCCCCGGGAGGUCUCGUAGACCGUGCAACAUGAGCACACUUCCUAAACCCCA
rnacentral:other from 12 species